UGGGGAAUUUUGCGCAAUGGGGGAAACCCUGACGCAGCAACGCCGCGUGGAGGAUGAAGUACUUCGGUACGUAAACUCCUUUCGAUCGGGACGAUUAUGACGGUACCGGAAGAAGAAGCCCCGGCUAACUUCGUGCCAGCAGCCGCGGUAAUACGAGGGGGGCAAGCGUUGUUCGGAAUUAUUGGGCGUAAAGGGUGCGUAGGCGGUUUGGUAAGUCUCUUGUGAAAUCUAUGGGCUCAACUCAUAGACUGCAAGGGAAACUGCCGGGCUUGAGUGUGGGAGAGGUGAGUGGAAUUUCCGGUGUAGCGGUGAAAUGCGUAGAUAUCGGAAGGAACACCUGUGGCGAAAGCGGCUCACUGGACCACAACUGACGCUGAUGCACGAAAGCUAGGGGAGCAAACAGGAUUAGAUACCCUGGUAGUCCUAGCCCUAAACGAUGACUGCUUGGUGUGACGGGUACCCAAUCCCGCCGUGCCGUAGCUAACGCGUUAAGCAGUCCGCCUGGGGAGUACGGUCGCAAGGC
rnacentral:rRNA from 1 species